rnacentral:rRNA from 1 species
CCAGACUCUUACGGGAGGCAGCAGUGGGGAAUAUUGCACAAUGGGCGGAAGCCUGAUGCAGCAACGCCGCGUGCGGGAUGACGGCCUUCGGGUUGUAAACCGCUUUCGCCUGUGACGAAGCGUGAGUGACGGUAAUGGGUAAAGAAGCACCGGCUAACUACGUGCCAGCAGCCGCGGUGAUACGUAGGGUGCGAGCGUUGUCCGGAUUUAUUGGGCGUAAAGGGCUCGUAGGUGGUUGAUCGCGUCGGAAGUGUAAUCUUGGGGCUUAACCCUGAGCGUGCUUUCGAUACGGGUUGACUUGAGGAAGGUAGGGGAGAAUGGAAUUCCUGGUGGAGCGGUGGAAUGCGCAGAUAUCAGGAGGAACACCAGUGGCGAAGGCGGUUCUCUGGGCCUUUCCUGACGCUGAGGAGCGAAAGCGUGGGGAGCGAACAGGCUUAGAUACCCUGGUAGUCCACGCUGUAAACGGUGGGUACUAGGUGUGGGGUCCAUUCCACGGGUUCCGUGCCGUAGCUAACGCUUUAAGUACCCCGCCUGGGGAGUACGGCCGCAAGGCUAAAACUCAAAGGAAUUGACG